rnacentral:rRNA from 1 species
GAGAAUGCCGGUGUGAGUAGCGAAAGACGGGUGAGAAUCCCGUCCACCGAUUGACUAAGGUUUCCAGAGGAAGGCUCGUCCGCUCUGGGUUAGUCGGGUCCUAAGCUGAGGCCGACAGGCGUAGGCGAUGGAUAACAGGUUGAUAUUCCUGUACCACCUAUAAUCGUUUUAAUCGAUGGGGGGACGCAGUAGGAUAGGCGAAGCGUGCGAUUGGAUUGCACGUCUAAGCAGUAAGGCUGAGUAUUAGGCAAAUCCGGUACUCGUUAAGGCUGAGCUGUGAUGGGGAGAAGACAUUGUGUCUUCGAGUCGUUGAUUUCACACUGCCGAGAAAAGCCUCUAGAUAGAAAAUAGGUGCCCGUACCGCAAACCGACACAGGUAGUCAAGAUGAGAAUUCUAAGGUGAGCGAGCGAACUCUCGUUAAGGAACUCGGCAAAAUGACCCCGUAACUUCGGGAGAAGGGGUGCUCUUUAGGGUUAACGCCCAGAAGAGCCGCAGUGAAUAGGCCCAAGCGACUGUUUAUCAAAAACACAGGUCUCUGCUAAACCGUAAGGUGAUGUAUAGGGGCUGACGCCUGCCCGGUGCUGGAAGGUUAAGAGGAGUGGUUAGCUUCUGCGAAGCUACGAAUCGAAGCCCCAGUAAACGGCGGCCGUAACUAUAACGGUCCUAAGGUAGCGAAAUUCCUUGUCGGGUAAGUUCCGACCCGCACGAAAGGCGUAACGAUUUGGGCACUGUCUCAACGAGAGACUCGGUGAAAUCAUAGUACCUGUGAAGAUGCAGGUUACCCGCGACAGGACGGAAAGACCCCGUGGAGCUUUACUGUAGCCUGAUAUUGAAAUUCGGCACAGCUUGUACAGGAUAGGUAGGAGCCUUUGAAACGUGAGCGCUAGCUU